AUUGAACGCUGGCGGCAUGCCUUACACAUGCAAGUCGAACGGUAACAGGUCUUCGGAUGCUGACGAGUGGCGAACGGGUGAGUAAUACAUCGGAACGUGCCUAGUAGUGGGGGAUAACUACUCGAAAGAGUGGCUAAUACCGCAUGAGAUCUACGGAUGAAAGCAGGGGAUCGCAAGACCUUGUGCUACUAGAGCGGCCGAUGGCAGAUUAGGUAGUUGGUGGGAUAAAAGCUUACCAAGCCGACGAUCUGUAGCUGGUCUGAGAGGACGAUCAGCCACACUGGGACUGAGACACGGCCCAGACUCCUACGGGAGGCAGCAGUGGGGAAUUUUGGACAAUGGGCGCAAGCCUGAUUCAGCAAUGCCGCGUGCAGGAUGAAGGCCUUCGGGUUGUAAACUGCUUUUGUACGGAACGAAAAGCCCUGGGUUAAUACCCUGGGGUCAUGACGGUACCGUAAGAAUAAGCACCGGCUAACUACGUGCCAGCCGCCGCAGUAAUAC
rnacentral:rRNA from 1 species